UUUUCCAAUUAAAGUAUCGACUUGAAAUAACUUUAUGAACUUAACAUGAAGUUUUCUUAAUAAUUUAGUGGAACUUUGGGCAAAUUUGGACAAUUUUCAAGGGAGUUAUGGACUUUUUGGUACUAAAGGUCCAAAAAAAUGGAGAAAAAUCCAACAUUUAACUUUGACAGCUUGUAAAAAAAAUUCCAAUUUAAGUAUCAACUUGAAAUAACUUUAUGAACUUAAUAUGAAGUUUUCUUAAUAAUUUAGUGGAACUUUGGGUAAAUUUGGACAAUUUUUAAGGGAGUUAAGGACUUUUUUGUACUAAAGGUCCAAAAAAAUUGAGAAAAAUCCAACAUUUAACUUUGACAGCUUGUAAAAAAUUUUCCAAUUAAAGUAUCAACUUGAAAUAACUUUAUAAACUUAAUAUGAAGUUUUUUUAACAAUUUAGUGGAACUUUGGGUAAAUUUGGACAAUUUUUAAGGGAGUUAUGGACUUUUUGGUACUAAAGGUCCAAAAAAAUGGAGAAAAAUCCAACAUUUAACUUUGACAGCCUGUAAAAAAUUUUCCAAUUAAAGUAUCAACUUGAAAUAACUUUAUAAGCUUAAUAUGAAGUUUUCUUAAUAAUCUAGUGGAACUUUGGGCAAAUUUGGACAAUUUUCAAGGGAGUUAUGGACUUUUUUGUACUAAAGGUCCAAAAAAUGGAGAAAAAUCCAACAUUUAACUUUGACAGCCUGUAAAAAAUUUCUCAAUUAAAGUAUCAACUUCAAAUAACUUUAUAAACUUAAUAUGAAGUUUUCUUAAUAAUUUAGUGGAACUUUGGGUAAAUUUGGACAAUUUUCAAGGGAGUUAUGGACUUUUUUGUACUAAAGGUCCAAAAAAAUGGAGAAAAAACCAACAUUUAACUUUGACAGCCUGUAAAAAAUUUUUCAAUUAAAGUAUCAACUUGAAAUAACUUUAUAAACUUAAUAUGAAGUUUUCUUAAUAGUUUAGUGGAACUUUGGGCAAAUUCGGACAAUUUUCAAGGGAGUUAUGGACUUUUUUGUACUAAAGGUCCAAAAAAAUGGAGAAAAAACCAACAUUUAACUUUGACAGCCUGUAAAAAAUUUUUCAAUUAAAGUAUCGACUUGAAAUAUCUUUAUAAACUUAAUAUGAAGUUUUCUUAAUAAUUUAGUGGAACUUUGGGUAAAUUUGGACAAUUUUCAAAGGAGUUAUGGACUUUUUUGUACUAAAGGUCCAAAAAAGUGGAGAAAAAUUCAACAUUUAACUUUGACAGCCUGUAAAAAAUUUUCCAAUUAAAGUAUCAACUUGAAAUAACUUUAUAAACUUAAUAUGAAGUUUUCUUAAUAAUUUAGUGGAACUUUGGGUAAAUUUGGACAAUUUUUAAGGGAGUUAAGGACUUUUUUGUACUAAAGGUCCAAAAAAAUGGAGAAAAAUCCAACAUUUGACUUUGACAGCCUGUAAAAAAAUUCCCAAUUAAAGUAUCAACUUGAAAUAACUUUAUAAACUUAAUAUGAAGUUUUCUUAAUAAUGUAGUGGAACUUUGGGCAAAUUUGGAUAAUUUUCAAGGGAGUUAUGGACUUUUUGGUACUAAAGGUCCAAAAAAAUAGAGAAAAAUCCAACAUUUAACUUUGACAGCCUGUAAAAAAUUUCUCAAUUAAAGUAUCAACUUGAAAUAACUUUAUAAACUUAAUAUGAAGUUUUCUUAAUAAUUUAGUGGAACUUUGGGUAAAUUUGGACAAUUUUCAAGGGAGUUAUGGACUGUUUCUGUUAUUGGGUCCAGGGGGCCCCAAAGUAAACCGGUACCACCCCAAACAGAACUCUGCGAUCGUUCGUGUGCUCUCGCCUUAAAACCGAACGUGGUCCGGGAAAGUUCCUCUUGGGGGGGAAAAACUGACACGUAGUCGAUUGUUUUAGAUCCCGCAUAGUGGCGGAGCCCGAAAUCGAGCCCCCCGCGCAGCCCGAGGUGUACGAAAUUUAUUACAUGACCCACCUUAUGGCCAUAAUCAUUUGAACCAUCGAUUUUGUACAAUUUUCUUUUUUUAGGUUAAGGUCCAAUAAUAAUAAUAAUGCAGAAGAAAAAAAAUCGCCAUUUUAUUUCAUG